GUGGGGAAUAUUGCACAAUGGGCGCAAGCCUGAUGCAGCGACGCCGCGUGAGGGAUGACGGCCUUCGGGUUGUAAACCUCUUUCAGCAGGGACGAAGUGGCCGGGUUUUCUCGGUUGUGACGGUACCUGCAGAAGAAGCGCCGGCCAACUACGUGCCAGCAGCCGCGGUAAGACGUAGGGCGCGAGCGUUGUCCGGAUUUAUUGGGCGUAAAGAGCUCGUAGGCGGCUUGUCGCGUCGACUGUGAAAACCCGCGGCUCAACUGCGGGCCUGCAGCCGAUACGGGCAGGCUAGAGUUCGGUAGGGGAGACUGGAAUUCCUGGUGUAGCGGUGAAAUGCGCAGAUAUCAGGAGGAACACCGGUGGCGAAGGCGGGUCUCUGGGCCGAUACUGACGCUGAGGAGCGAAAGCGUGGGGAGCGAACAGGAUUAGAAACCCCAGUAGUCC
rnacentral:rRNA from 1 species